UACGGAGGGUGCAAACGUUGCUCGGAAUCAUUGGGCGUAAAGCGCACGUAGGCGGUUUUUCAAGUUGGAUGUGAAAGCCCUGGGCUCAACCCAGGAAGUGCAUUCAAAACUGUGAGACUUGAGUUCCGGAGGGGCCCAGAGAAUUCCCGGUGUAGAGGUGAAAUUCGUAGAUAUCGGGAGGAAUACCAGUGGCGAAGGCGGUUCUCUGGGCAUUACCUGACGCUGAGGAGCGAAAGUGUGGGGAGCGAACAGG
rnacentral:rRNA from 1 species